rnacentral:misc_RNA from 1 species
UACUUGUGUCACUCAAGAAAUGAAGGAUGUGAACUGGCGCAAUGCUUUAUCUACUGAAUUUAAUGCAUUAAUGCAAAAUGGUACUUGGAAUCUAGUUCCGUUACCACCAAGAAAACAAGUUGUCAGCUGCAAAUGGGGUUUUCAUCUUAAACGAAACUCAGAUGGUAGUAUAGCUAGAUACAAAGUGAGACUCAUUACUAAAGGGUUUCAUUAGUGACCCGGACAAGACUGCAAUGAGAGUUUCAGCCCCGUUGUCAAACCUGUCACCAUUCGAGUUGUGUUAACUAUUGCUUUAUCCAAUGGCUAGUCUAUAUAACAGUUAGACAUCAACAAUUCCUUCUUUCACAGUCCCCUUAUGGACGAGGUAUACAUAACUCGACCCCCUGAGUUUGUUGAUUCUAAUAAUUCUUCAUUUAUCUGCAGACUACCUAAGCCCAUAUAUGGCUUGAAACA